GUCCACGCUGUAAACGAUGAACACUAGAUAUUGGAGGAUUUGACCCCUUCAGUGUCGUAGCUAACGCGUUAAGUGUUCCGCCUGGGAAGUACGGUCGCAAGACUAAAACUCAAAGGAAUUGACGGGGGCCCGCACAAGCGGUGGAUUAUGUGGUUUAAUUCGAAGCAACGCGCAGAACCUUACCUAGGCUUGAAAUCCCACGAACCUGGCUUAAACGCUGGGGUGCUCUUCGGAGAAUGUGGUGACAGGCGCUGCAUGGCUGUCGU
rnacentral:rRNA from 1 species